rnacentral:rRNA from 1 species
UGGGGAAUAUUGGACAAUGGGCGCAAGCCUGAUCCAGCCAUGCCGCGUGAGUGACGAAGGUCUUCGGAUUGUAAAGCUCUUUUUGGCGGGGACGAUAAUGACGGUACCCGCAGAAUAAGCCCCGGCUAACUUCGUGCCAGCAGCCGCGGUAAUACGAAGGGGGCUAGCGUUGUUCGGAAUCACUGGGCGUAAAGCGCACGUAGGCGGAUUUGUUAGUCAGGGGUGAAAUCCCGGGGCUCAACCCAGGAAGUGCGCAAGAUACUGGAUAGCUGGAGUGUCGGAGAGGAGGGCGGAAUACCCGGUGUAGAGGUGAAAUUCGUAGAUAUCGGGUGGAACACCUGUGGCGAAGGCGGCCCUCUGGACGAUAACUGACGCUGAGACGCGAAAGCAUGGGGAGCAAACGGGAUUAGAUACCCCCGUAGUCCCUGAGCGGGCUGGCAAGGCGCAU